CACCAAACCCGAUAAGCGCUCUUACUCCUUGCAAAUUAAACAGCCCCGUUUACUCCCUCCAACCAACAACCCAUAUACUCGAAAUCAAACCCUAGCCCCUCUCUCUCGCUGUGCCCCCCCCUCUCAUUUCACUCCUCGCUCUCUGCGAUUCUCUAAGUCGCCGAGCUCUCUCAGUCGUGAAACCACCCCCCUUCUCUCUCCUUCCCCCUCUCUCCUCCGCGAAAUCCCUCUCUCUCGUGAAAGCUCUCUCAGUCUCUCGAUCUGAAACCAUGACCUUCGUCUCAAUCCAUCGCAUAAAACUAUGGCCUUCGUCGUUUCAGCCGUCAAGCAAGAAAUCCCCGAACUCUCCCGUCGUUUCAUCCUAAUUCUCCGACUUAUUCGACGGAUGCAUGAUGGCCAUGGAGACGGUACCGACUUUAGGAGAGUUCGCGCCGGAGUCGAGGUCAGUGAUGAAUUUUGUUCAAAUUGCAGACUAAGAAAUGGUGAAUUUCUAAGAAAAGUUGUCCUCUCAGUCCUCCCUCUCUCAAUUCUCUCUCACAAACCCUAAAGCGGCCGAUUUGGACCUCUCUCUCGCCGACAAAAGAACGCUGGGCAAAGCAAUCAAUGGCCGCCUUGCUUGUGUGGGUGGAUUGUAUUGCUUGGUAAAUGCUUUAUCAUUUCUGCUUCUAAGAGAAUGAAGAAGGCUGGAUUGGUCGAAAAAAAUAUGGUGAGCUGGAAGUAUGUUUCUAGAUUGCAGUACUGCCAAUAGCAAAAGUUUAUACAAUAUAUUCUUCGUGUUUUCUUAUAGCUUCGCCGGCACAUGGAAGGAAGCUGUUCACAGGGCUUGUUUUCUCACUUUUGCUUCCAUGUUUGAUAUACUCUCAACUUGGACAAGCGAUCACUUGGGAGAAAAUUCUCAAGUGGUAAGAGACAAUGAUUUGGAGCUUCUUUUGAGGAUUACCAGGCUAUGGUGGCACAGCUUGAACACCAAUUUCUACUCAGAAGACUGUCCUUAGGCUGGUGGUAUUACUGUCAAGUUAAAAGGAAUUGAAUUGGCAAAGUAUAUCCUGGAGUAUGCUCAGAACUUGGAGAAAAUGGUCAUAUUUCAUUUAUUCAAGGCCUGUUACAAUGUUAUGCUUUAAUACGAUUAUUCUAUGUUCAUAGACAAUUGUUUUCUGCUUUUCGGCAGGGGAAAAGUCGUCUUGAGGCACAUGAACAACUUUGAGAACCAAGAGACAUGGAGGUAAAUGCUUUUUGCAUUCUGCGCAUUACCACUAUAAUUAGUAAAGGGGGAGAGGCUGAAAAGCUUGUUCGGACACUUUUCAUGGCUGCUAUAUCCUAUCUAGACAGCCAUCUGUAAUUUUCACGGAUGAGUCAUUACUCAGUUGAUCCAUGCAUAGAAAGCAGUACCGGAAUCAGCGGCUUUCAGUACCAGUCCCAGUAGUAUCCUUGGUUGCCUUGAGGCUUUGCUUUCAGCAUACGAGCUAUGAGCUUAGAUCUCCAUAGUACUUGCCUCUUGAUCCUCUCAGUUCUUGAAUCCUUGAUCUCGAGCUCAGAUUCGGAAAAACUAGGGCCUUGUGUACAAUGAAGGAAUUUGAUCUCAUUCCUCAUGAUCCUAAAUCUGUAGAGUAUAAUGCAAUUGGAAAAUGCUCUCAAUCAGAAAAUGCUUAAGUUACUUGGUGUUUCUUCAAUGUUGCUGGUUGCCUCGGUUAUUCCUAGUCCUUUUUCAUAUGACACACAGACUAUGCCGGUAUAUGAGAGUGAGGACUGGGAAGGAUGCCUCCACUGCAGUAAUAAUCCAAAGCUCAAGAAGCAACAUAAAUGAGUUGGAGUGGGAUCUUAGAGCUCGAGAAGCAAGUACUAUGGAUUACCUCCUUUCAGCAUGUGAGCUACCAAGUUUGAUUCAUGGGUCUAGCUAGCAGCUAGGAAUAGCUAGGGAUGCUUUUGAUUCAUGUGUAGGUAGCAACUAGGAAUGCUUUCUUGUUUGGUAUAUUAUCUAGUAACUUGAAUGUUUGGAUGUUUGAAAAAUGCUACUUGAAUGAUAUGGAUUAGAGUGUGGUUUUAUAUGGUAA